CAGAAACUGAGAGCUGCAGGGAAAGGAACAUACCUGCAUGCAUACAUACUACACUCAAACGAUUGGGAGCAUGCACUUCUCUAAGGAGAGCCCCUGCAGAGAGCAGGGAAAUAAAGAAUCACCUGGAGAUCCUCAGCACUCAUCCAUCUCAUCUAAUUUGUCUGCAGCAGCUCACUAAACAUGAGGCAUCACUGUCACUGUGAGCUGAGCUGGUACCUGAAGGAGUCUCAACUAAAGGUGUGCCUGAGAAUAAAUCCAGCUCCUCUGUUUUAUAUCUUUGCAACCUGUCUCUACGUCUCUGAUAUGGAGUGUUGGCUUUUUGCACAAAGCAAUAAAACCGCUGAUGAGUUUCUGUGACUCCAGGAAAGAAAU